GGGAAUGUAGCUAAGGGUAGAGCGCUCCCUUCGCAUGGGAGAGGGCUGGGGUUCAAAUCCCCAUAUUUCCA
rnacentral:tRNA from 1 species